rnacentral:rRNA from 1 species
CCCUUAGACGUUCUGGGCCGCACGCGCGCUACACUGACCAGUGCAACAAGCAUCCGUCCUUGGCCGACAGGCCUGGGCAAUCUUUGAACAUCGAUCGUGAUCGGGAUAGAUUCUUGUAAUUUUUGAUCUUAAACGAGGAAUUCCUAGUAAACGCAAGUCAUCAGCUUGCAUUGAUUACGUCCCUGCCCUUUGUACACACCGCCCGUCGCACCUACCGAUUGAAUGGUCCGGUGAAAUCUCCGGACUGGCGUGAGUCGGAGCAAUCUGACAAACACCGGAAAGUUGAUUAAACCUUACCAUUUAGAGGAAGGUGAANUCGUANCA